GAAGAGUUUGAUCAUGGCUCAGAUUGAACGCUGGCGGCAGGCCUAACACAUGCAAGUCGAACGGUAACAGGAAGCAGCUUGCUGCUUUGCUGACGAGUGGCGGACGGGUGAGUAAUGUCUGGGAAACUGCCUGAUGGAGGGGGAUAACUACUGGAAACGGUGGCUAAUACCGCAUAACGUCGCAAGACCAAAGAGGGGGACCUUCGGGCCUCUUGCCAUCAGAUGUGCCCAGAUGGGAUUAGCUUGUUGGUGAGGUAACGGCUCACCAAGGCGACGAUCCCUAGCUGGUCUGAGAGGAUGACCAGCCACACUGGAACUGAGACACGGUCCAGACUCCUACGGGAGGCAGCAGUGGGGAAUAUUGCACAAUGGGCGCAAGCCUGAUGCAGCCAUGCCGCGUGUAUGAAGAAGGCCUUCGGGUUGUAAAGUACUUUCAGCGGGGAGGAAGGUGUUGUGGUUAAUAACCGCAGCAAUUGACGUUACCCGCAGAAGAAGCACCGGCUAACUCCGUGCCAGCAGCCGCGGUAAUACGGAGGGUGCAAGCGUUAAUCGGAAUUACUGGGCGUAAAGCGCACGCAGGCGGUCUGUCAAGUCGGAUGUGAAAUCCCCGGGCUCAACCUGGGAACUGCAUUCGAAACUGGCAGGCUUGAGUCUUGUAGAGGGGGGUAGAAUUCCAGGUGUAGCGGUGAAAUGCGUAGAGAUCUGGAGGAAUACCGGUGGCGAAGGCGGCCCCCUGGACAAAGACUGACGCUCAGGUGCGAAAGCGUGGGGAGCAAACAGGAUUAGAUACCCUGGUAGUCCACGCCGUAAACGAUGUCUACUUGGAGGUUGUGCCCUUGAGGCGUGGCUUCCGGAGCUAACGCGUUAAGUAGACCGCCUGGGGAGUACGGCCGCAAGGUUAAAACUCAAAUGAAUUGACGGGGGCCCGCACAAGCGGUGGAGCAUGUGGUUUAAUUCGAUGCAACGCGAAGAACCUUACCUGGUCUUGACAUCCACAGAACAUUCCAGAGAUGGAUUGGUGCCUUCGGGAACCGUGAGACAGGUGCUGCAUGGCUGUCGUCAGCUCGUGUUGUGAAAUG
rnacentral:rRNA from 1 species